GAUGAACGCUGGCGGCGUGCCUAACACAUGCAAGUCGAGCGAUCUUCUUCGGAAGAGAGCGGCGGACGGGUGAGUAACGCGUUGGUAACCUGCCUCAUACACAUGGAUAACAUACCGAAAGGUAUGCUAAUACAAGAUGAUAUAAGAGAUUCGCAUGGAUUUCUUAUCAAAGCUCCGGCGGUAUGAGAUGGACCCGCGUCUGAUUAGCUAGUUGGUAAGGUAACGGCUUACCAAGGCGACGAUCAGUAGCCGACCUGAGAGGGUGAUCGGCCACAUUGGAACUGAGACACGGUCCAAACUCCUACGGGAGGCAGCAGUGGGGAAUAUUGCACAAUGGGCGAAAGCCUGAUGCAGCAACGCCGCGUGAGCGAUGAAGGCCUUCGGGUCGUAAAGCUCUGUCCUCAAGGAAGAUAAUGACGGUACUUGAGGAGGAAGCCCCGGCUAACUACGUGCCAGCCGCCGCUGUAAAAC
rnacentral:rRNA from 1 species